CACCCACUCGGGGCUGUCCCAGCGAGGCCGAGCCCCGUGCUCGCUUCGCUUUUGCACUCCCGAAGGCCGGUGCAUCCCGACGGCACGGAGCAGCCCCGGCCCCGCUCCGUAGGGUCACUCCAAGUCACCGCCUCCCCACGUCGAGGAACAGCGAUUUGAGGGAGAAUUGCGGCUCUGGGGAAUGUUUUUGCCCUCCGUCCGGGGGGAGGGGGUUGGGGGGUUGGAGUUGUCAGCCCUGGGCUGGCCUUGGGGUCAGAGAAACCCGUGGAAAGCGGCCGCUCUGGGAGAGGCGAUCCCCGCUUUCCCCUUCUGCUGUCGUCUUUCUGUCCUUCCCGUGGAAGCGGGGACACUCCCGCACCUCGCAGAUGGGAACGGAGGGAAAUGAUCCGCUCCGAGCUCCGCCGCCCCGUUAGUUUUCUUUCGGCCGCGACUUUCGCCGAGAAACCCAAAAACACUGAGAGCAGCACACCAUCAGUUGAACAAGAACUUCAGCGUUUGGAGGAACUCUCAAAAUUCAGCCCAACCUCCACCCGCCGCCGAAACCGGACCCGUUCGUAGAGACUUAAACAAACAAACAAACUACAACAACAACAACAAAAAGUGUUAAAAGGAGAAAAUCACCGGCGCCCCCGAACCAGUUGGCUCCGAGCGGCAAUGCAGAGCAGCAGUGCGCCGAGCGGCUGAGGGCCAAGCCUGGCGCUCCCCGAGAGGAGCCCUGGAGGUGGGGGGGAGGGAGAGAUGCUCACGCAGGAGAAGCUCCGGACGUAGGGUGCUGAGCGCCUGCUUGUCGCAUUUUCACAUUUAAAGCCAGCACGGCCGUGAGACCCAGCGCCCCCAGGAGUGCCCGGGGUUGUGCCGUUCUGUAACCGCCGCUCCCCAGUGCGGGUGUAUGCACGCCGCCGCUCGCCCGCACAAAUCCCAUAAACGCUAAUAAAACAGAUUCCUCCGGAUUUGUUUAACUUUCCCUGGCACCGCGCGGCCCUAUAUUGGUAUUCAAUGGGGUUACCCGUGUGCAUGAGGAUUACUGGUUAAGCGUGGACACGGGAUCAACCUUCUAGAAUGCCACUCGAACAUGUCCCUACAAAUGAGUAAGGUGGGAGACGUAAGCACUGACAAUACGAUUAAUUUGCACCGAAGACUUGAAAGGAAAAAGGAAGUUAAAUCACGGUACUCGAGUUAUUAAGCUAGGCAGAACUGAGGCCUCUGGUUGCAGGGGAUCGUUUUCAGCUCUUUACUCGGAGCUGUGUUACUGCUAUUGUCCAACCUUUGCUGGCCACAUGGGACCCCACUUGGAAAUCGGUCAGAAAAUUAUUUCUACUGGACAAGAACUGGAAAUAUCCAGCUGGGGCAGGGAUCCAUUUCCAGGCAGAGAGUGGGGAAGGAAACUCGGUCCUCCUUCUCCUUACACAGACAGUGCUGUUAGAAGUUGUCCAAAGCAACUCAAGCUACUAUCCAGAAAGUAUCUGCUGCUCACAAAUGAAAAAAGAUGGGAUUCCAUCCCCCACCCCCUCCGACCCCCUCUGGCCCCCAUGGAUUAGUAAAUUUGUUAUUUAUUUAUUCUGUACAGAAUGUAGAAAAGGGUACAUGGUGCCUGCAUUGCACGGCGCCUGUGCAUAACGCACAGUGACAACAUGGGCACAAGGCACUGCUGGAGCUGAUGGACCGAUCCAAGUAGAUGACAUUUGGAAAAAAUACGCCCAGCUUAAAAGCACAGAAUGCUCAUGUUUGGGUCAGGCUCUCCAUUUCAGUAUUCUAAGGAGAACAAAGUUAUUUUGCUGAGGCCAACUUUCUUUUUUUUUCUUUUCCUUUCUUUCUUUCUUUCUUUUUUUUUUUUUUUUCCAACUGGAAAAUUUGAUGAUUUUUCUGAAAGUGGUUUCUUACAGUCAGAUAAUUGAUAUUAAUUAUGAAUCCCAAACAUCCAUGACCGAAGGUUUGUUUUUCCUAAUGUAAGCUGCAAACCAUAUUUCUUUCAGUUAGUUUUGAAGGUGAAAGCCGUCCUUGGGAACAGGAGAGGGAAUAUAUCAAUCACAGAAAGGAAGCCUCUAGGUUGAAAAAUUAGGAAAAACCUUGUAUGAAAAGCACACACAAAGAGGAGUGUUUUUGCUCUGUUUGUCUGAAGUCCUUUGAACAUGAUGAAAGUCAAUGUGAGUAUUUCAAUGUAAUUUUUUUAAAGUUAUGCUCAGCGGUUUCGAGUAGUUAUCUCAAUGGUCCUUGGCUUUUAUGAAUAGUGUGACUAAUCUAGUGGAGAUGAGUAAUGGAUCUACGAGGAAUAGAGGAAUUCUGAUGCAAAAACAUCUCUCUUUUCUGUUGGUGUUUUAUGCUGCUUGACAUUCAAUAUAUUAUAUAAUGGCUGUCAGAAGAACUUUGGUAAUGCUUUAUGGUAAUGUUUAUAAAUACUUUAGUCGUGAUUUAGAAACGAUGAAUGGAAAAUGCUAUUUAUAGAUAAUUAUGUGAUGUUUUACUAUGUUGUAAGCACAUUCAUACACAUAUGUAUGUGCUCAUGUUAAUUGCCGUGCUUUCUUUGUCGUAGCACACUGAUUCAAUAUUUUUGCAUUUGUCUACAGUACACUUAGCAACACAGCUACCAGAUUAUCUUUAAAUAGGUAUUUUACCAUGUAUGGACAAAGAAAUUGAAGUCAGGAUUGAUCUACACACGUGGGACUGGGAGGUUACUGCAAGGAAGAGGGUACAGAGAGGGGAAGGAAAGGUUCCCGUGUAGGCUGUUUUUGUGAAAUGAAGACCUCAGCCCUGUAAAUGAACAUGUAUCAGUGAACUCUGUAAGCCACUGGCUUAACACGGCUUAAAACCCAGCAGUGCAGCCCCAGCAAGGCAUGACAAGGCACCAGCAUGUCUCUAGGGUGGAUCUGUCUCCUCGUUAGCAUGGUCGAGCUGAUUGGGAAGAUCUGGCAUGGGGAUGGGAAGAGGGAGGAUUCACACCUCUUUGAGGGCUGAUGUGGUGAUCUCAUGGUCAUGAUCUUGUUUGGAUCAAAAGGCAGAGCAGAGAACAGGCUCAUGCCCUGAUCUGUGCUAGAAGUGGCUUGCAAGUCCCUCAGCUUUCAUCCUUCCACAGCAAGGAUUUGUGAGUAAAUAAGUAAAAGGUAGUAUAACAAACCUAUGUGAACUGGCUUCACCAAAUGCAGAAUGCAAGAUUUCUGUUCUGAUCCUGACUGAUACUCAUGUCGUCCCAGUUUAAAAGAAGGUAGCUGCUUAGUUCGGGUCACCAUGAGUUUUCCCACCAGCAGUGAGACUGAAAAGUCACAUUGUAUGGGCAGUGAUAACCACAAUUACAUUUGACACUGAAACAUUGAAAUUAUCCCAUAUGGGCACACAAAACAUCUUGGUAACUUGCUCCCCGGGAAAGUCCCAUCAGCAUGCUUUGUGUCUGAACAGCAAGGACCAGGUCAGCACAUACACCUGAAAGUAUAGCUGCUUUCAGUGUGGGUCUUACUACUACUUCUCGCUAGUGUUUCCAGCUCUGGAUAUAACUUCGCACGUCUUUUUAACUUCGUUAGAAUUUGUACCAACAAGGUUUCCAUGCUUAUACUGUGGGAAUAGCGAAUUAAUUCAUCCUUAAUUGAACAAAGGCACACUAAGUUCAAUCUCUGCUAACAUCAGAAAGAUACUCAGAAGAUACUGCCCUCUAAAAUGAUCUGUCUGACCUUUAGACAUUGAUCCUGAAAUUUGAUCUCUGAGACCCACCAAUACCAAAGAAUUAGACGCUUCAGUCUCUGGAUGCCAUUUGGAUGUGCUCUCAGUUUCGGAGUUCAGGGCCAGGUCCAGAAAGGGACUCAGGGAGAAUGCAGAUACUGAAGGCUAAAAUGGGAGUGCUGAACAUUUCCAUUCAGUUGCUGACUAAUUCUGGAUGUAUCCAAAGCUUAUCUGUUCAUCAUUUUGUUCCUUAAUGCAGGUACAUAAUUCAGACCUAGGAUGUGAGUUUUCUCCCUGAUUUGGUCCCAACACAAUCAGUGAAUACGCUCUGCUCCACAAUCAACAGAAGUUGUCUUUGAUUUAUAUAUGCAUAUAAGUCACAUUUGAUGAUGAGGACCUGGACUCAAUUUCCUCCAUUGUCCAAAGGGAUGCAAUGCAGACCCCUGGUCUUUGAAAAGUGUGUUCUAUACAUUGUCCACUAGACUGCAUGUGAUGUACCUUCAUACUAUAUUUACUUUAUUAAGUAUAGAAUAAGGGAAAAAAGCAAUCCUCUGUUCCAACAGUCAAGUGCAUUGCUGGUAAGGGAUAUAUCUGGAGUUCGCUGUCUUUUCCAAGAUUUUGUUUGUUUGUUUGUUACAAAUAUGUUACUUCCAGUGUACACAAAUGCAUUGAAAGCCUUUGGAGCAAGAUGAGGAACAUGGUUCCCUUCCCCCAGCCUUACCAAGAAGGCUUGGGUCAUAUUAUUCAAUGGUUGGACUAGAUGAUCUUAGUGGUCUUUCUAACCUUAAUGAUACUUAAUGAUGAUGGUGACUUUCUCUGUCUUUCAGUUUUUCUAGGCACAGUAGCCUGAUGGGAACAGGAGGGACUGAGAGCCUUAGCCUGGUUUAUAAUAUGCUGUUGUGGGCUCAGUGUUGAAAAGAUGGAGAUAAAACUUUGAACUUUCUCAAAGGCCAGUGAUCUUUCCUCUCAUUUGCCAAGUGCAGGAUCACUGUGUGGUAUGGCAGAGAGAUGAGAAGAGCUGUUGUUCUGCCUCUAGUCUUACCAUCUAAACAGCGUUCGCUUUUUCUUUUUUCACUUAAAAGCCAAAACCUAAGCAAGAAAACAAAAAUUGAAAAAUGUAGAAUAGUCAUGUCAGGGAAACUCAUGAUGAGUCUGAGGUUGGAAGAAGAUGAUAAGAACCAACCCACUUCCUUAUCAUCUUCUCAGUGAGUAGCUCAGGUGUUUCAGUGUUCAGCUCUGUUAUGCACUCUGUUUGGAAGAGCUCAAUUCAACAGCAAUUUAGGCAGCUGAGUAGGUUUGGAAAUUAGCACUAGGACUACAUUAUUUAAGAGAAAUUACAACAUUUAUUUUUAUGUCUCCAAAGUAAUUCUGGGAAAUAUUUUCCUAUUAAAAAAAAGCCAACAAAACAAAACCAACACAAAUCUGUCUUCAGGCUAUAUGCAUAUAUAUGCAUGAUAUGUGAAUGUUCCACUGUUUUCUGGUGGUAUGUAUGAGGAGUUUCAGACCGUUCCUUAGAACAUUUGUUCUUAUACAAGCAACUCCUUACAACAAAUCACAGCUUAGCAAGAUCCUUGAGCAGUGGCUUACAUCUCUCAGAUGGUGGACAGCAUACUGCAAUGGAAAGAAACACCCUCAUCCCUCCUUGCCCUCAGUAGUUGUAUAGAAUUUUUAUGCAUGUCACAAGUGCAAUGUAUUUUGGCUCUGAGAAAAGAAGAAAACAAAUGAUUCCCUCCAUCUGUUGAAAACUGUACAUACUGUAAUCUCCAAACACUUCUUUUAUCACCUGGAUGGUUUCGGAAAACCAUUUAUCUGUUCUUCUGCUAUCCAGUAUGUUAGUCAAAUUCUGAAUAUGUUUUUCUGCGAUUUCCUUCCUUUUCUUUCCUUCCUUCUUUUUUUAUUUUCUUCUUUUCUUUUUUUUACUUUUUUUUUUUUUUUUCUUUCUUUCUUCUUUUUUCACUUUUUUCUUUUUUCCCCAGCUUUCUCUUCUUCAGGACUUCUCCAGCACUGGGGACGUGCUAUUAGCAUAUCUUGGGAAACCCCAUUGCAGGGGGAAUUUGUAGACAACUGUUUACCCUGAAUAGAUUGCAAGUAUUGGACAGUGCAAAUAUUCACAGUGGUACUGGUAACACCAAUAUCCCUAACCCUCUGAACAUGUACAGUAUGGACUGGAUAGUUCAAAAAACUAGAGAGGCUCUUAGAUCAAGCUGAGUGCUUGUGCAAUUAAUUCAAGAUAAACAUUCUCCCAACUGCCUAUGCAGUGCUUUAAUGACCAUUAGAGGCCCCCUGCUGAGGAGGUCUGUGCCUUAAUUCCACAACCAUAUGAGAUUUCAUGCAGGUCAGUAGAACAGGCUUUAAGCUGAGACAGAUAAAGCCAAGCGGGAGGAAAUGGGAGAACACAGAGAAUAUUAUUUAUCAUAAAUGCCUGAGAGAAUUGGCUGGAGACCUGAAAUGAAUUUAGGGGCAGAUAAAACUGACAGAUAAAUCUUAGACAAAUCUAGGAUGAGAGAAGAGCGUGAUUGGAGAAAUAAAAUAGAUGUGGUGAUGAUAGGUGCUGGAAGAAGAGUGAAGCUCUGCAGAAGUUCAAGCUCAUUUUCAGUAAGACGUUUUAUCUUUGGGGAUUACUCCAGCAGAAACUACAACUCCUCAGAGAUUUGCCUCAACACCACUAAAAAUGCAUAGGUCUGAUACUGCAAACAGGGUUCCCACGAAGAGGCUAAACUCCUCGUGAAUCAACAUCGUGGCCUUCAGCACUAACAUGGCUUUCGGUCGGCGGGGGCUUUAUCAGAUGAUGUCAUGUUUGUAACUGAUAUCCCACUCCACAGUGCUAAUGAGAACAGAAAUGCCAUGGAACUGAGCCGUGCCAGAGUGAUCUUUGCUUCCCUAUGAACUUUUGGUUAAA